GACGAACGCUGGCGGCGUGCCUAAUACAUGCAAGUAGAACGCACAGUUUAUACCGUAGCUUGCUACACCAUAGACUGUGAGUUGCGAACGGGUGAGUAACGCGUAGGUAACCUGCCUGGUAGCGGGGGAUAACUAUUGGAAACGAUAGCUAAUACCGCAUAAUAUUAAUUAUUGCAUGAUAAUUAAUUGAAAGGUGCAAUUGCACCACUACCAGAUGGACCUGCGUUGUAUUAGCUAGUAGGUGAGGUAACGGCUCACCUAGGCGACGAUACAUAGCCGACCGGAGAGGGUGAUCGGCCACACUGGGACUGAGACACGGCCCAGACGCCUACGGGAGGCAGCAGUAGGGAAUCUUCGGCAAUGGACGAAAGUCUGACCGAGCAAAGCCGCGUGAGUGAAGAAGGUUUUCGGAUCGUAAAGCUCUGUUGUAAGGGAAGAACGGGUGUGAGAGUGGAAAGUUCACACUGUGACGGUAUCUUACCAGAAAGGGACGGCUAACUACGUG
rnacentral:rRNA from 1 species